rnacentral:rRNA from 1 species
AGUCGUACGAGAGUUUUUAACUCAAGUGGCGGACGGGUGAGUAACACGUAAGAAUUUGCCUUUAGGAGGGGGACAACAACUGGAAACGGUUGCUAAUACCCCAUAUGCUUUCGAGUGAAAUGGAUUUUUCCGCCUAGAGAGAAGCUUGCGGCUGAUUAGCUUGUUGGUGAGGUAAUGGCUCACCAAGGCGACGAUCAGUAUCUGGUUUGAGAGGACGAUCAGACACACUGGAACUGAGACACGGUCCAGACUCCUACGGGAGGCAGCAGUGGGGAAUUUUCCGCAAUGGGCGAAAGCCUGACGGAGCAAUACCGCGUGAGGGAUGACGGCCUAUGGGUUGUAAACCUCUUUUUUCAGGGAGGAAUAAAAUGACGUGUACCUGAAGAAUAAGCAUCGGCUAACUCCGUGCCAGCAGCCGCGGUAAGACGGAGGAUGCAAGUGUUAUCCGGAAUCACUGGGCGUAAAGCGUCUGUAGGUGGUCCAAUAAGUCAACUGUUAAAUCUUGAGGCUCAACCUCAAAACCGCAGUCGAAACUAUUAGACUAGAGUAUAGUAGGGGUAAAGGGAAUUUCCAGUGGAGCGGUGAAAUGCGUAGAGAUUGGAAAGAACACCGAUGGCGAAGGCACUUUACUGGGCUAUUACUAACACUCAGAGACGAAAGCUAGGGUAGCAAAUGGGAUUAGAUACCCCAGUAGUCCUAGCCGUAAACAAUGGAUACUAGAUGUUGAACAGAUCGACCUGUGCAGUAUCAAAGCUAACGCGUUAAGUAUCCCGCC